rnacentral:rRNA from 1 species
UACCAGCUCUCCGAGUGGUAGGGAUGAUAAUUGGGCUUAAAGCGUCCGUAGCCGGCUUAGCAAGUCUCCUGUUAAAUUCAGCGACCUAAUCGUUGAGCCGCGGGAGAUACUACUAGGCUAGGAGGCGGGAGAGGUCAACGGUACUUCCGGGGUAGGGGUGAAAUCCUAUAAUCCCGGGAGGACCACCAGUGGCGAAGGCUGUUGACUAGAACGCGCUCGACGGUGAGGGACGAAAGCUGGGGGAGCGAACCGGAUUAGAUACCCGGGUAGUCCCAGCUGUAAACGAUGCGAGCUAGGUGUUGGGGUGGCUACGUGCCACUUCAGUGCCGCAGGGAAGCCAUUAAGCUCGCCGCCUGGGGAGUACGGCCGCAAGGCUGAAACUUAAGGAAUUGGCGGGGGAGCACCACAAGGCGUGAAGCUUGCGGUUC